AUGAAACAGUGCAUAUCGCGCAGCUUUAACUGUAAUCUGCUCAGUGUGGUAAUCGAUCAGCGACUCAGAAUUGACACCUGUCGAUAUCUAAUCGAGAUACUAUCGCGCCGCAUCUCUGGCGAUCUACGGUAAAACCGCAACUAAUUUCUGAAGUGUCGUCAUAAGCCAGCCCCCCCUUCAACAAUCGGGCAGUACCUAUAUAUAAUCAUAUACAAAUAUAUGUAUUUGGUUAGACCUGUUCCCACAUCUAUGGAGUUUCAUCUAGACAGUGCAGAAUACUGCCAGGC